rnacentral:rRNA from 1 species
GACAGAGGGGGCAAGCGUUGCUCGGAAUCACUGGGCGUAAAGCGCACGUAGGCGGAUUGCUAAGUCAGGGGUGAAAUCCUGGAGCUCAACUCCAGAACUGCCUUUGAUACUGGCGACCUUGAGUCCGGGAGAGGUGAGUGGAACUGCGAGUGUAGAGGUGAAAUUCGUAGAUAUUCGCAAGAACACCAGUGGCGAAGGCGGCUCACUGGCCCGAUACUGACGCUGAGGUGCGAAAGCGUGGGGAGCAAACAGG